rnacentral:lncRNA from 1 species
AGGCCCAGGCUCCACUCCCCAGCUGUGAAAGGAGGAGCUCUAUGGUGACUUUGAAGACUUGGAAACAGGGGACGUGCACAAGGGAAAAUCGGGCCCCGAUACUCAGAAUGAAGAUAUAGAGAAACAAGGAAGAAAUUGACCCCGACAAAGAAGAAAGUGCCAAGAAAAAGCAUUUGGAUAAGAAGAGAAAAUUGAAGGAGAUGUUUGAUGAGGAAUAUGAUGAAGGAGAAAGCACAUAUUUUGAUGAUCUUAAAGGAGAAAUGCAGAAACAAGCACAGCUGAAUCGCACAGAAUUUGAAGAUCAAGAUGAUGAAGCCAGAGUUCCAUAUGAGGGUUUUCGGCCUGGGGUAUGCAUCUGAAGAAACAUCGCUGGUAUAAGAAAAUCCUCAAGUCCCGAGAUCCAAUCAUAUUUUCUGUAGGGUGGAGGAGGUUUCAGACCAUCCCGCUCUAUUAUAUCGAAGACCAUAAUGGAAGACAAAGGCUUCUAAAGUAUACCCCACAGCACAUGCAUUGCGGAGCAGCCUUUUGGGACCCUGUCACUCCACAGGGAACUGGUUUCUUGGCAAUACAGUCUGUCAGUGGCAUAAUGCCUGAUUUUCGGAUAGCUGCCACAGGAGUUGUCCUUGAUCUGGAUAAAUCCAUAAAAAUUGUGAAGAAAUUAAAGCUAACUGGUUUUCCAUAUAAAAUUUUCAAGAACACUUCAUUUAUUAAGGGAAUAUUUAAUUCUGCCUUGGAAGUGGCCAAAUUUGAAGGUGCUGUGAUUUGAACUGUCAGUGGGAUAAGGGGGCAGAUCAAGAAAGCACUCUGUGCUCCAGAAGGAGCUUUCCGGGCCAGCUUUGAGGAUAAGCUGCUGAUGAGCGAUAUUGUCUUCAUGCGAACUUGGUAUCCUGUUUCCAUCCCAGCCUUCUAUAACCCAGUAACAUCUUUGUUGAAACCAGUGGGUGAGAAAGACACCUGGUCAGGAAUGUGGACCACGGGCCAACUCAGGCUCGCCUAUGGUGUCAGACUAAAGGCAAAUAAGGACUCUCUGUAUAAGCCAAUCCUGAGGCAAAAGAAACAUUUUAAUUCACUGCACAUUCCAAAAGCCUUGCAGAAGGCCCUGCCAUUUAAGAACAAGCCCAAGGCCAGGCGCGGUGGCUCACGCCUGUAAUCCCAGCACUUUGGGAGGCUGAGGCGGGCGGAUCACGAGGUCAGGAGAUCGAGACCAUCCUGGCUAACAUGGUGAAACCCUGUCUCUACUAAAAGUACAAAAAAUUAGCCAGGUGUUGUGGUGGGCGCC